rnacentral:rRNA from 1 species
GACGAACGCUGGCGGCGUGCUUAACACAUGCAAGUCGAACGGAAAGGCCUCUUUCGGGGGGUACUCGAGUGGCGAACGGGUGAGUAACACGUGAGUAACCUGCCCUUGACUUUGGGAUAACUUCAGGAAACUGGGGCUAAUACCGGAUAGGAGCUCCUGCUGCCUGGUGGGGGUUGGAAAGUUUCGGCGGUUGGGGAUGGACUCGCGGCUUAUCAGCUUGUUGGUGGGGUAGUGGCUUACCAAGGCUUUGACGGGUAGCCGGCCUGAGAGGGUGACCGGCCACAUUGGGACUGAGAUACGGCCCAGACUCCUACGGGAGGCAGCAGUGGGGAAGAUUGCACAAUGGGUGGAAGCCUGAUGCAGCAACGCCGUGUGCGGGAUGACGGCCUUCGGGUUGUAAACCGCUUUCGCUCAUGACGAAGCUUUGUGUGACGGUAGUGGGUAAAGAAGCACCGGCUAACUACGUG